AACUAACUCAUCUAUGUGGCAAAAUAGUGAGAAGAUUUGUAAGUAGAGGUGACAUGCCUAACGAGCCUGGUGAUAGCUGGUUGUCCAGAAAAUGAAUCUAAGUUCAGCUUUAAAGAUACCAAAAAUUCAAAUAAACCCCACUGUAGCUUUAAAAGUUAGUCUAAAAAGGUACAGCCUUUUAGAAACGGAUACAACCUUGACUAGAGAGUAAAAUUUAACACUACCAUAGUAGGCCUAAAAGCAGCCAUCAAUUAAGAAAGCGUUAAAGCUCAACAACAAAAAUUAAAUAGAUUCCAACAACAAAUGAUUAACUCCUAGCCCCCAAUACUGGACUAAUCUAUUAUAGAAUAGAAGCAAUAAUGUUAAUAUGAGUAACAAGAAAAAUUUUCUCCUUGCAUAAGUCUAAGUCAGUGCCUGAUAAUACUCUGACCACUAACAGUCAAUAAAAAUAAUCCAACAAUAAACAAUUUAUUGAUUAUACUGUUAACCCAACACAGGAGUGCAUCUAAGGAAAGAUUAAAAGAAGUAAAAGGAACUCGGCAAACACAAACCCCGCCUGUUUACCAAAAACAUCACCUCCAGCAUUCCCAGUAUUGGAGGCAUUGCCUGCCCAGUGACAACUGUUUAACGGCCGCGGUAUCCUGACCGUGCAAAGGUAGCAUAAUCAUUUGUUCUCUAAAUAAGGACUUGUAUGAAUGGCCGCACGAGGGUUUUACUGUCUCUUACUUCCAAUCAGUGAAAUUGACCUUCCCGUGAAGAGGCGGGAAUGCACAAAUAAGACGAGAAGACCCUAUGGAGCUUUAACUAACCAACCCAAAGAGAAUAGAUUUAACCAUUAAGGAAUAACAACAAUCUCCAUGAGUUGGUAGUUUCGGUUGGGGUGACCUCGGAGAAUAAAAAAUCCUCCGAGCGAUUUUAAAGACUAGACCCACAAGUCAAAUCACUCUAUCGCUCAUUGAUCCAAAAACUUGAUCAACGGAACAAGUUACCCUAGGGAUAACAGCGCAAUCCUAUUCAAGAGUCCAUAUCGACAAUAGGGUUUACGACCUCGAUGUUGGAUCAGGACAUCCUGAUGGUGCAACCGCUAUCAAAAG
rnacentral:rRNA from 1 species